rnacentral:rRNA from 1 species
AGAGUUUGAUCCUGGCUCAGAGCGAACAUUGGCGGUAGGCUUAACACAUGCAAGUCGAGCGAGGCGUAAUAGUCGAGCGGCGAACGGGUGCGUAAUACAUGGGAAUCUACCUCGAAGUGGGGGAUAACGUUCAGAAAUGAACGCUAAUACCGCAUAAUCCAUAUCGGGAAAGCGUUGCAGCGCUUUGAGAUGAGCCCAUGGCUGAUUAGCUAGUUGGUGGGGUAAUGGCCUACCAAGGCGACGAUCAGUAGCUGGUCUGAGAGGAUGACCAGCCACACUGGAACUGAGACACGGUCCAGACUCCUACGGGAGGCAGCAGUGGGGAAUCUUGCGCAAUGGGGGCAACCCUGACGCAGCCAUACCGCGUGAGUGAUGAAGGUCUUCGGAUUGUAAAGCUCUUUCGGCGGGGACGACGAUGACGGUACCCGCAAAAGAAGUCACGGCUAACUUCGUGCCAGCAGCCGCGGUAAUACGAAGGUGGCGAAUGUUGCUCGGAUUCACUGGGCGUAAAGCGUCUGUAGGUGGCUUGUUAAGUUAGAGGUGAAAGCCCCGCGCUCAACGUGGGAACUGCCUUUAAAACUGGCGAGCUUGAGAGUAUCAGAGGAAGGCGGAAUAACUGGUGUAGAGGUAAAAUUCAUAGAUAUCAGUUGGAACAUCCAUGGCGAAGGCAGCUUUCUGGGAUAUUUCUGACACUGAGAGACGACAGCGUGGGGAGCAAACAGGAUUAGAUACCCUGGUAGUCC